GUCGAAGGCAGUGAUUAAAAGAAUAAUGACUAACCAAGUUUACCUGUUGAAAACAAUUUUGAGAGACCGUUGUACAAAGAUGCAACAGGAUCAACAAGAUGUAACUGGGAAUGUGUAACUGCACAAAAAUCUACGAACAAAGAUGAAGACGCACCAAAGUAGUCGAAUGGAACGUCCUGUAUUAAUCACGAGCGGAGCCGCUUGGAACAGAGUCUGGGUCGAGCGGCCCCAGGGCGAGUGGUCCGUCGCCGAAGCCGAAGCUACACUGACUCCGUUUUUCCCCUCUACCUGGGGAAAGCAGCCCAGAAACAGAGAGAGAGAAGAAAGCAUACACGGAG